rnacentral:rRNA from 1 species
GAUGAACGCUGGCGGCGUGCCUAAUACAUGCAAGUCGAGCGAACACACGAGGAGCUCUCGCUCUUGACGUUAGCGGCGGACGGGCGAGUAACACGUGGAUAACCUACUUCUUUGUCUGGGAUAACUUCGGAAAAACGCAGCUACUACCGCCUAAUACAUCCUACCGCUUGGUUCAAUAGUGAUAGACGGCUUUGCUGUCUCUUUUAGAUGGAUCCGCGCCGGAUUAGCUAGUUGGUAAGGUAACGGCUUACCAAGGCGACGAUGCGUAGCCGACCUGAGAGGGUGAUCAGCCACACUGGAACUGAGACACGGUCCAGACUCCUACGGGAGGCAGCAGUAGGGAAUCUUCCGCAAUGGGCGAAAGCUUGACGCAGCAAUGCCGCGUGGGUGAAGAAGGUCUUCGGGUCGUAAAGCUCUGUUAUUAGGGAAGAACAGAUGUGUAAGUAACUAUGCACGUCUUGACGGUACCUAAACAGAAAGCCACGGCUAACUUCGUG